rnacentral:rRNA from 1 species
GUACUGAUUGAGAUUUUAACACGAAGUGAGUGGCGAACGGGUGAGUAACACGUGGGUAACCUGCCCAGAAGUAGGGGAUAACACCUGGAAACAGAUGCUAAUACCGUAUAACAGAGAAAACCGCAUGGUUUUCUUUUAAAAGAUGGCUCUGCUAUCACUUCUGGAUGGACCCGCGGCGUAUUAGCUAGUUGGUGAGGUAAAGGCUCACCAAGGCAGUGAUACGUAGCCGACCUGAGAGGGUAAUCGGCCACAUUGGGACUGAGACACGGCCCAGACUCCUACGGGAGGCAGCAGUAGGGAAUCUUCCACAAUGGACGCAAGUCUGAUGGAGCAACGCCGCGUGAGUGAAGAAGGGUUUCGGCUCGUAAAGCUCUGUUGUUAAAGAAGAACGUGGGUAAGAGUAACUGUUUACCCAGUGACGGUAUUUAACCAGAAAGCCACGGCUAACUACGUGCCAGCAGCCGCGGUAAUACGUAGGUGGCAAGCGUUAUCCGGAUUUAUUGGGCGUAAAGCGAGCGCAGGCGGUCUUUUAAGUCUAAUGUGAAAGCCUUCGGCUCAACCGAAGAAGUGCAUUGGAAACUGGGAGACUUGAGUGCAGAAGAG